CUUAAAAGAUUCGUCUAGACACUUAAUUGCAACUUAUGUAAUUAGUUUUAUAUUAAAUUGACAUCUGUACAUUCGAUUUGAUAAUCAAAUCGAUGUGACAGCUACUUGUAGAAACCAAACAUCUCCUUCUCGCAGAGCGCAGCCAUGGGGCGUGGGCAGCUCUUUGCAGCAGCGCAGGGUGGGUCGGCCCUGGCUUGCGGCGCCGUGGUCUGGUGGGAGGCGAGGUGGCUUGACGGGCGGUGUGGCAGGCCGGUCGCCGGCUCCUCCGUGUCGGCUCCUUCUCCUCCUUUUUUCUCCUCCAUGGUGACCCAGCGGGCAGGUCGGCGACGACAAGCCGGUGGUUGCAGCAGGAGGAGCGAGGCGGCCCCUGGCUCGCUGACCUGCAUGCGUAGCGGCACUGCUGCCAGCGCCCAACAGCGGCUCGGGCGGGCACUGCAGUCGCGCGGCAACGGAGGCAGCCCCUGGCCGACGGCAAGGCGGCGCGAGGAGUCUGGGCCGACCCGACGAGCUGAUCAGUCUCAUUUUCAAUGGCAGUUACUACAUAAGGCAUGUUUUGCAAAUACAAGUUACAGUUUCAUACCUUAUUGUGCAUUAUGUAGUUAGGAUAAUAAUUAUAUGAGUAUACUAAUUUUCAAUGGCAGUCAUGUCAUGCAUGUGAAGGCUCUAGUUUUAGAACCUACUGUGGACUAUGUAGUUCAGAUAAUAAUCAUAGGAGAGUAUUCAUUUUCAAUUACAGUCAUGGCAGUUAGUUGCUUGAUUUGAAAUUUUAAGCAUAGAUGACAGAUAAAUAUUGACCAAAGAAAUAAACAGUAUAUGUAGAAUGAAGAAAAGUUCUUCAGCCGUAAUAGCAACAACUGAUGAGCACUUAGUCCUUCAACAAAGUUGUUCAGCUUCCAUAAUAUGUGUAAUUAUAUAAUACCACUUUCAGUUGACAGUUCCCAACAAUUCACUUGUAUACAGGUAUGAGGCAAGAAGUAUAAAUUAUAUGAGCUUAAUCAAGAUUUUUCACUAUAAAUAUACGAGAUGAAGACAGUCACAUUCCAUUAAUUGAGAUUUGUACUGAAUCAACCAGAGCUUGAUAGAAGGGACCGAAAUCCAAUCUUGUUGAGCCGAAUAGAAAAAAAGCAGAGUAUCAUCCCUUGGUAGCGACGAAGGGGCAGCGAAUCGAACUCAAAGAUGGGAUUAAUGUUUGAUCUCGUUUAUUGGGUAGUGCAGAGCAAGGCGGCGGUGCGCGCAGGCGCGCGGGGACGUCGAACAGCUGCUCCGCUUGAGGCGGCCCGACCGCACGCUCGCACGAGCCCAGCAUGCCGUCCGGGAGAAGGACGCGCUCGACGUGCUCGCCGAGCUCGAGGCCUACUGCGGCCUCGUUGCCGAGCGGGCGACGCUCGUCGACGCGUGCACGGAGUGCCCGAGGAGCUGCGGGAGGCGGCGGCGGGGCUCCUGUGCGCCACUGAAAGGUGCGGGGGCCUGUCGGAGCUGCAGGAGGUCAGGGGCUUCCUCGCCGCCAAGUUCAGCAGUGGCUUCAUCUCCGUCGCAUCUGAGCUCCGCAGCGGCUGCGGGGUCAACCCCAAGGUGAGCCAUGAGCCCGUGAUUAGAGUCCGGCGGCUGAUGGCGUGGCAUGAGACAACAGCAGAGCUUGCUCGAUUUGAGCGUAGAAGAAGCCACAGCCGCAGUUGGCUGAUGGAGUGGUGGCCUGGUGGGAGGAGCAGCGGGGAAGGAUGGCCGCGCGCCGCGACUCGCGAGGGGAACGCCGCCGCCUGGCCCGAAGCUUCGGGAAGAUGGUCGAGGAACGCUGACCCGUGUCUGGCUGGGGAUGCGAUACCGCGACCACCCGCCACGAGCUCUCGUGGCCGUUUGUUGCUAGAUCGACGGCCGGGAUUCCGCCCGAUGACGUGGCACGACGAGAGGUGAGAGAAUUGGCCACGAAUCGUCAAGAAGAGAUGUGCUGGCGGAUCUGGCACCUUGCACGCAAGAAGAAGCAGUGGCCGUUAUAUCAAAUUUUAGUGUUCUUCCGGGCGGAGAUGCUUAUUCAAGGGGAAAGCUAAAUGUCACUCGAGCAUUUCUGGGUCUCUCCACACUUGAUUUUUCCUCCGUCCGAUCAGGCCAUCCGAUUGUCGUCGUCGUCUGAUGGUCUGACUCCUGUUGAUUUGUUUUUGUUUCUGUUUGAUGUGUGACAUGUGGGUCGUUACCUUUUGUAUAUUUCGGAUCGAUCUGUUCUGACCAGAGUCCAUCCACCAUUCCAACAUUUCCCCUUCGUUGAGCUCGUCCAGGUGCCGCGAUUUUGCUCUCCCCCUUUCUCCGAUCUCGUCCAGCCAUCAGAUUGACGGAUCAAUAUAGAGGGUUCCUUUUCAUUUGGUUCAGUGCUGAUUGGGCUCGCAUCUGAAUCUGAUAUGAUCUUUGCUUUAUGUUCCCUUCAACCAAUUAGCACCCCCAAGAUGUAUUUCCACUGAGCAUAUUUGUUUGAAAGGCACCAUCUUCUCAUCAGCAGGGAUAUCCGCAUGUUUGGCGUUGAGGAUGGCUCUCAGCAACGCCUUAGUAUAGUUUGGCAACAACAACCCGUGCCCAGUUAAACCGUUUCAGACUGGCAGUUCAAGCUCUUGAGAUAUAUAGUAUUUCUGCUUCUGCAAUGUGUCUGUUAUAUCUAUCAACUAUCAUGUGAAGUGAUACUAACACUAUGCCUUGAACUGCUACCUAUGAUAGUCGAACUAUCAUGUAGUAUUUUUGGCUGAAAAUUUGUGCAAAACUUUGUAUAUAUGCUCCUGUAAUGGCAUGAUCUACAAAGCCCAAUUGUUCAGGCAAGGCUAUAUUUUAAAGUUCAGGUUAUAUUGACACAUUUGU